GGCUAGCGGAGGCGGGAUUUAUGACCUAUACUGCAGCCAGUCAACAGAGGGUGCUGUUCUCAGCGAGGAGGCAGAUGCUGUCCAUUCUAUAUACAGUCGAUGGUGAAAACUGAGAGUGAGUGACGUACUGCGAUCAAAACUGUACAUCUACAGUACAGCGAUGACGAUUCUGCCGAUCGUCACAGGCAUGGCGCUGUUCACGCAAAAGUGGAGGCAUCACAAAAGGACGAACGGCGUGGAAAAGACAAAGGCAGGUCCACUCAUCUAAUAAUCCAAUUUAUGCUGAUUUCACACAUGCUGUAAAAAAAAAAAAAAGCCUUUUUUGACUCACCACCGUCGCUCUGUCUUUCACCAGGGACUGCUGCAGCACAAACACAGAUGCUGAGCACAAAGCCCAAGGCCAGGACGCUGGUGAGUCACAGUUGUACCGCUGUGUGUGUGAAUGCGGGCUAAGUGAGCGCUCAUUCAGUCAAAAUAACGGCCUUUCAGUUGACGUCAUCGCUCUUAAUCACUCAAUUAUAGCAAUUUCCAGAAGGUAACUGUGCUGUGUCUUUCCUGUUUUUCUGCCUCCAGGUAGCACACAGACUGAUGGAGAGGCAGGCGGCCGUCUCUUGAGGGACUGAUGUGAAAUCAUUCAUACAGUUAGUCAUUCAAACACUCGAGCUGGAGAUGUCUGAAGCAGUUUGUGAUUGAGUAUUUUUAAUGUUUCUUAAAGUUAAGGCACCAUUCAGCUUUUUGCACUGCCCUGUCUUUGUCACGUUUUUGAGUACAACUGUUCUUGGAGGAUCCUGUAGACCUCGGUGCUCGCAUUGUCCGAGGAGCACUCUGGCACGAGAGUUUUCAGGGACAGCAUGGACCCACUUACUUUUCUG